CAGUCGCCACGGGAAUACGUAGGGGGCAAGCGUUAUCCGGAAUUACUGGGUGUAAAGGGAGCGUAGACGGUUAAACAAGUCUGAAGUGAAAUGCCGGGGCUCAACCCCGGAGCUGCUUUGGGAACUGUAGAACUGGAGUGUCGGAGGGGUAAGCGGAAUUCCCAGUGUAGCGGUGAAAUGCGUAGAUAUUGGGAGGAACACCGGCGGCGAAGGCGGCUUACUGGACGACAACUGACGUUGAGGCUCGAAGGCGUGGGUAGCAAACAGGAUUAGAUACCCCCGUAGUCCCUGUCUCUUAUAC
rnacentral:rRNA from 1 species